AACGAACGCUGGCGGCAGGCCUAACACAUGCAAGUCGAGCGAGUACUUCGGUUCUAGCGGCGGACGGGUGAGUAACGCGUGGGAAUGUGCCCUUCUCUACGGAAUAGCCCUGGGAAACUGGGAGUAAUACCGUAUACGCCCUAUCGGGGAAAGAUUUAUCGGAGAAGGAUCAGCCUGCGUGGGAUUAGGUGGUUGGUGGGGUAAUGGCCUACCACGCGGAGGAUCCAUAGCUGGUUUGAGAGGAUGAGCCGCCACACUGGGGCGAGGACACGGCCCAGACUCCUGCGGGAGGGAGCAGUGGGGAAUCUUAGACAGUGGGGGGAGCGCUGAUGGAGCCAUGCCGCGUGAGCGAUGAAGGCUGUGGGGUUGUAAAGCUCUUUCAGCUGGGAAGAUAAUGACGGUACCAGCAGAAGAAGCCCCGGCUAACUCCGUG
rnacentral:rRNA from 1 species